GAUGAACGCUGGCGGCGUGCCUAAUACAUGCAAGUCGAGCGAACAGACGAGGAGCUUGCUCCUCUGACGUUAGCGGCGGACGGGUGAGUAACACGUGGAUCACCUACCUAUAAGACUGGGAUAACUUCGGGAAACCGGAGCUAAUACCGGAUAAUAUAUUGAACCGCAUGGUUCAAUAGUGAAAGACGGUUUUGCUGUCACUUAUAGAUGGAUCCGCGCCGCAUUAGCUAGUUGGUAAGGUAACGGCUUACCAAGGCAACGAUGCGUAGCCGACCUGAGAGGGUGAUCGGCCACACUGGAACUGAGACACGGUCCAGACUCCUACGGGAGGCAGCAGUAGGGAAUCUUCCGCAAUAGGCGAAAGCCUGACGGAGCAACGCCGCGUGAGUGAUGAAGGUCUUCGGAUCGUAAAACUCUGUUAUUAGGGAAGAACAAAUGUGUAAGUAACUAUGCACGUCUUGACGGUACCUAAUCAGAAAGCCACGGCUAACUACGUG
rnacentral:rRNA from 1 species